rnacentral:rRNA from 1 species
UACAGGAGGGGGCAAGCGUUAUUCGGAAUUAUUGGGCGUAAAGGGCGCGUAGGCGGCCGCCUAAGUCAGACGUGAAAUCCCUCGGCUCAACCGGGGAACUGCGUCUGAUACUGGGUGGCUUGAAUCCGGGAGAGGGAUGCGGAAUUCCAGGUGUAGCGGUGAAAUGCGUAGAUAUCAGGAGGAACACCAAUGGCGAAGGCAGCUCGCUGGGACGGUACUGACGCUGAGACGCGAAAGCGUGGGGAGCAAACAGG